rnacentral:lncRNA from 1 species
AAAAUCUAUUUAUAACUUGCUCUCUCCAUUUCUAUUGCUAACUGGUAUAUAUUAUAUUUGCCGACUAAUCUAGAUAAUGGAUGGGGAUAGUGAAUUCCAUGUCUGUCUGUUUCUUCAUCUCUUCCUAUCCCUAACACUAUGGAUAUUUUAUAUCCUGCCCUGUAGUGACAUCGUAAAAUGCAUUUUUUGAAACUCCCGCUUUAUCAGUUUUGAUCCUCCCACAUGAGAUAGCUGAUUAUAUUUUUUUUAUAUUCAAAAGGCACUCUCAUCCAAACAAAGUGGAAGAUCCUCAUUUCAUUUCCAUGAAGGGAGGAGGUGAUCCGAUGAGGG